rnacentral:rRNA from 1 species
GACGAACGCUGGCGGCGUGCUUAACACAUGCAAGUGGAGCGACGAACCGGGGCUUGCCCCGGGGCAGAGCCGCGAACGGGUGAGUAACACGUGGGUAACCCACCCCGAUGACCGGGACAACCCGAGGAAACUCGGGCUAAUACCGGAUGUGCUCCCUUCUCAUGAGGGAAGUGAGCAAAGGUAGCUUCGGCCUCCGCAUCGGGACGGGCCCGCGGCCCAUUAGCUUGUUGGUGGGGUAAUGGCCUACCAAGGCGACGAUGGGUAGCUGGUCUGAGAGGACGAUCAGCCACACUGGGACUGAGACACGGCCCAGACUCCUACGGGAGGCAGCAGUGGGGAAUCUUGCGCAAUGCGCGAAAGCGUGACGCAGCAACGCCGCGUGGGGGAAGAAGGCCUUCGGGUUGUAAACCCCUUUCAGUUGGGACGAAGCUUCGCCGGUGAAUAGCCGGCUGGAGUGACGGUACCUUCACAAGAAGCCCCGGCUAACUACGUGCCAGCAGCCGC